rnacentral:rRNA from 1 species
UAGGGAAUCUUCCACAAUGGACGCAAGUCUGAUGGAGCAACGCCGCGUGAGUGAAGAAGGUUUUCGGAUCGUAAAGCUCUGUUGUUGGUGAAGAAGGAUAGAGGCAGUAACUGGUCUUUAUUUGACGGUAAUCAACCAGAAAGUCACGGCUAACUACGUGCCAGCAGCCGCGGUAAUACGUAGGUGGCAAGCGUUGUCCGGAUUUAUUGGGCGUAAAGCGAGCGCAGGCGGAAUGAUAAGUCUGAUGUGAAAGCCCACGGCUCAACCGUGGAACUGCAUCGGAAACUGUCAUUCUUGAGUGCAGAAGAAGAGAGUGGAAUUCCAUGUGUAGCGGAGGAAUGCGUAGAUAUAUGGAAGAACACCAGUGGCGAAGGCGGCUCUCUGGUCUGCAACUGACGCUGAGGCUCGAAAGCAUGGGUAGCGAACAGG